CUUCUUCCCUUCAGUGACUCAAGAUCGUGUCAUAUUAAGCUAACCAAUACAUGAUCUUAAUUAAUAUGGUUUAAUGAUUUAUACCUUACUUCCACAGUUCCCUUCACUUUUACCUGUACCCAUUCUAUUGUUUGUCAUAUCUUGUUUCUUUUUUUAGUUUGUUUGUUUGUUUGUUUGUUUAUUUAUUUAUUUAUUUAUUUAUUUAUUUAUUUAUACAUACUCUAAGUACAUGUACACCUGCAGGCCAGACGAGGGCAUCAGAUCCCAGUAUAGAUGGUUGUGAGCCACCAUGUAGUUGCCAGGAAUUGAACUCAAGACCUCUGGAAAGAACAGACAGUGCUGUUUCCUGAUGAUCCACUGUUCAGCCCAUUCUUUUUUCUUAAAAUCACAAACUUGUUCAUAUUUCCUUCCUAAUAAGUGAAUUUUCUCUUUAGUAGGCUGGUGACAUUAUCAUUGUCUUUCAUUUAAGGAUGUCUUCCUGUCCUGGAUGUAGUUUUUAUGGCUACAUGCCUAAGUGGAUCCAGACCAGGAAUUCCAGAAACACGAAUGAUAAAUACUUUGUUAUUUUCUCACACAUUCUUGGGCUCUUGUUUUUCUUCUUCUCAGUCUUCAAAUUGAUGUAAAAUACUAUGUCUUUCUUUUGUCUUGUCUAAUUCACUGUUGCAUUUUGGAUUCUCUUUCAUUAUAUUUUUCAGUAUUUAUUUAUUUAUUUAUUUAUUUAUUUAUUUAUUUAUUUAUUUAUUUAUAUAUGAGUAAAGUGUCACUGACACACCAGAAGAGGGCAUCAGAUCCCAUUGUAUAUGGUUGCGAGCCACCAUAUGGUUGCUGGGAAAUGAACCUCUGGAAUAGCAGCUAGUGCCUUUAACCUCUGAGCCAUCUCUCCAGCCUGUUUUAGUGUCUUACUUUGCAUUUGGUUGGUUUUUGUUUUUGUUUGUUUUUGAGACAGCCUCGCAUAGCCUGUGCUGCCCUCGAACAUACGUAUAUUCAAGGAUGACCUUGAACUCUU
ensembl:lncRNA